UUGGAGCUGUGUCACUAGGCGCCUUUACACACGGUGCCGUCGUCGUAAGAAAUAUCUGCUUUCGAAGUUGUGAAAAAUUUUUGCUUCGAAGAGGAUCGAGGAUUGCGUCGCGUGAUGUUUAUGCGAACACUGCACAGGUCCCUGUCGCCGGCAAGGAAGACAUUGGCUAUCGUCCCCGUAUCCUCUGCGAGCUACCACGAGAAGGUUAUUGACCACUACGAAAAUCCUCGCAACGUUGGAUCGCUCAAUAAGGACGACAAGAAUGUUGGCACUGGUCUUGUCGGCGCCCCAGCCUGCGGCGAUGUCAUGAAAUUGCAGAUCAAGGUGGAUGAAAGUGGCAAGAUUAUCGAUGCCAAGUUCAAGACGUUUGGUUGUGGUUCGGCCAUUGCAUCCAGCUCUCUUGCAACUGAAUGGAUAAAGGGAAAAAAUGUGAAUGAUGCUAUGAAAAUUAAGAACACAGACAUUGCUAAAGAGCUGAGCCUACCUCCAGUCAAGCUUCACUGCUCAAUGCUUGCUGAAGAUGCUAUCAAGGCAGCUCUCAGUGACUACAAGCGAAAGCGGGGUGAGCAGGAAGUACCGAAGGCAGGCGCAGACACCUCUGCAAGCAGUAAUGGCUGAGGCCCAGGUCUCAGCUUCUAUGGUGAUGAUCACAUCCCUGUUGUCGAUCACCUCACGUGUGUGAUGGACGAAUGGCAGCUGUCACAGCUUCUGGAGUGCUGGGGAACUGCCAGACCAUUUCCCCCAGCCAUCUGGGGGAGAAAUAUUUUUUUGAAGUUUGGUCCCCCAACACCACUUGGCUCGGUCGCCUGCCAUUGCCUCGCACUCCGUCUUCACUGCACUGCACUGCAGCUUGUCCACAGUUGAUACAGUGCUGCUGCCAAUCUAUUGCAUGACAGUACACGAGUCUUGUCUGAGUGCCAGGCUUCCAGUAAGGCUGCUAAACUUAUAGGUGCUUAGCUACUUGAAUCUUUUGGGUCAGUGAGUAUGAAGCGAGUCCAGCACGAACAUUGCAGAGUGGUGAGGGUACAAAGUGGUGAAGUCAUAGUGGGGACGUUGACUGUGGUUUACUCUCUCUCAUAUUGUAGGAAAUCUGCUUUCAUUUUUUUCAAUGGUGGGGGUACCUGGCUUAGUUGCAGCAUUUCAAGUCACAUGGUAUGCUCUUACACUGUCCAAGGUGCUGACAUGUAGCCAUUUGUUAUUAAGCUUGCGGUUGUUGUCUAUGUUGCAUAGUGAUGUCUUUAACUAUGUGUUCAUUUUGUUGUAGAAUGCAUUAUGUUUUAUGUGGCAGAAAUUGUUUAUGUUCGCAGAAAUCAUUGAAGAUUAUCCAAGUGAAUAGCUGAGCUUGCUGUUGAUGGGAGUUCAUCACUCAGUUACUGUAGAUCUUGCUCUAUUUCUUUGGAAUGUGUGCAGUAUAGUGUUGAUCUUUCUCGGUGCAUGAAUGACCAUAUUAAUCCAACUCUUGGCUGAGGCAGUCAUUGACGUCAAAAUACUCUUUGGCACCAUUUGUCCAGCCUUCCUGGUCGACCUCUUGAUGACAGGUCUUCACCACAUUUACUGUUGAUCUUUUUCUUCAGCACACUGUCGCAUAGUUUUGGCGUGUAUUGUUGGUGUGUGAGUGACGGCAUUCUUCUAAUUCUUAAGUGAGAACACGCUUAGGUGGCAUUCUCAGAAAAACCUUUAAUUUACUACAGCGGAUACAAAUGCAUCACUCUUUCCUGACACAAAGCAAAUACUGUCAUUGCUGCAGACUGGAUGUGACAAGUCUCACAACUCUCCCCUCUUGUGUGGUAAACCAUGUGACCUUGCGUGUCCUGUGUCCACCAUUCGCAAUGUUCGCUUCGUGUCAGGAAGGCGAGUGUUGCAUUGGUGUCUGCUGUAAUAAAUGAGAGGUUCUUGAAAAUUCCAUCAAAGUGUGUUCUCACCUUUCUACGUUGUCCCCUCCUGCCACUGCACUAGCAUUGGACAUGUGUAUCACAGAUUUAUUUACCAACGCGAUGAACAAAGGACAGUAGCCCUCUACCCCACUCUUACCCUCUUCCUUCCGCUCCUGUCGAGAGUCAUUUACCGCAACAAACCAAAUGGAAGAAAAAAAAAAUGCAGAUCCCACUUAGUGGGGGAAUCUGUAUUUUGCAGAGCAUUUUGCAACUAUCUAUAGCUUCUUGUGGGGUUUCGCACUUUGCAGAUUGCACAAAAUGUCCUUAUAAGACAAGCAAUUGUGUGUGUGACAGCAGCGACAAGACGAUGGCACGGCAACAACGGUAGCAUGACAGCUACUGGGAUGACGAAAUCUGCACCUCUCGAGCAGCACUGUUCUCGUCUCAGAGCCACGGCAUAACAUGCUUGCUAGAGAGCAACAGCAUCGGGCGACAUGGUGUCAGCCCGUCUUCACAUAAAACAAAAUUCUGGGACACUCUGGGAAUUUGGCAUAGGCACUUGGGGAAAACCUGGAAAACUCGGGCACUUUGGAAAUGACAACUUCGUAGACGCCCUGGAUACUCCCUAAAGUGAUAUUUGAGUACAGCUUUAUGUGUGUUUUCAUUUAGCAAUAUAUUGAGGCAACGAAAUUGAGUCCGAAAUGACUACAUCUCCUGACUAAAGUAGCUGAUCAAUACUCGAAAAUCAACAAUGCGAGAUCAGGGGCAUUCCAUGCACUCAAGGUGAAGACUACUCAGCUAUCAUGCAAACCAUUGGAAAAUAAAAUUGGGUGCCCUGUUUUGCCCAAUGAUCUCGACGUUGUUCACUGGGUUUCCACAAAAUUGGAAAGCCGAAAGAACCUGAGCACUCACUUUUGCUCAUGCAGAAAGAAAGCAGAAUUCAUCAGCAAGGCAUGGAAAGCAAGACUUCACCUCAGUAACAUUGGUGUUUCCGCAAUGCUUGAUCCUCCUGUGUUUGUCAAUGACCAUCUGUCCACAGAGAAUAAGGUGCUCGUUUCGAGAGCUCUAGCGUUACAGGAGGCAAGGAACUGGAAGUUUCUUUGGACCAAUAACUGUUAAAUUAAGGUGUUGAAGGCAACAGACAGCAGGGUCCAUUGCAUUGUUCACGUAUCUGACUUUGCAAUAAUUACCUAGCUGCAUGCACAGUUCAUAAUGCUAAUUCUUUUGAUCCCCAAACAUGGCAUUCUACUUUUCUGUCGACCGUCUCAGCCAAUUUAAGUCGCAGUGAUGUCUCUCGCUAAUUCAUUUUAAUGCUAGAAGCCUGGGCAGGCACUUUGACAGCAUAAACAAUCUACUCUCGACAUUUCGUACUGCUUUUAUGAUUAUUUGUGCGUCUGAGACUUGGCUGUGAUGAUGAUGCUCGCAAUCUUUUUUGUUUCCCACAUUGUAGUUCUGAGUACUGCCACACACAAAAGAGCAGUCAUGGUAGCAUUGCUGUCUGUAUCGACUGGUGCAACAUAUCAUUGACAUUGUAGACGCAGUCUAAACGUAAAUGUCUGCAAUUGCAUAUAUGUAUGGCUCGAAUUCGACAACCAGUUUCUUAAUUUUGACAACAAAAACCUUGUAUUCGGAGUUAUUUAUCACUCGCCAUACUCAUCCACCACUGAAUCUUGUGACACACUCACUAAAAUCAUGGAAACAUAAAAAAAAAAAAAUUAUCAUGGGUGACAUAAAUAUUAACUUACACGAUAAAACAGCCUUUCCUCUACAAGCUACUCUAGUUUCUUUCGUAAUUCUGGUUACGAGUGCCUAAUUACCCAAUCAACAAGGUGUAGUAGUAACGUAGGUAUGAUUAUUGAUCAUGCACUACAAAAUUUGCUGCUUAAGCCCGAAGCAGGUACCUUCAGUGUGGAUGCCACAAAUCAUUACCCUAUAUUUUUCUAUUUCGAUUCUCUACCUUGUGUCCGCAGCAUUUCUGCUUUCACUGAACCUGUUUUAGAUAGAAAUAGAUUCACUGAUGCUAUCACAGCUAUCAAUUGACCCUUGCUAACUGAUAUUACUGACUCACAGGAGACAUUCUCGAAGAUCCUAUCUUUGUUGCACACACAUUGAUUUGA